UCUUCCUCUUGUUGGUGGUCUGAUGCCACGUUGACGGUAGUGAAUCAUAAAGAAUGGCAAUGACCGGCAAUGCUAUGAUCGGACCAAUAUCAAGUUUCGUAUGCUGAUAGGAACCUGUGGAUUUCAUUAAUAUCAAUUCAUCCACGGAGCCGAUUUCUGCGAUAACAUUUUUGUUUU